rnacentral:rRNA from 1 species
AUUGAACGCUGGCGGCAGGCUUAACACAUGCAAGUCGAGCGGAGAUGAGGUGCUUGCACCUUAUCUUAGCGGCGGACGGGUGAGUAAUGCUUAGGAAUCUGCCUAUUAGUGGGGGACAACAUUCCGAAAGGAAUGCUAAUACCGCAUACGUCCUACGGGAGAAAGCAGGGGAUCUUCGGACCUUGCGCUAAUAGAUGAGCCUAAGUCGGAUUAGCUAGUUGGUAGGGUAAAGGCCUACCAAGGCGACGAUCUGUAGCGGGUCUGAGAGGAUGAGCGGCCACACUGGGACUGAGACACGGCCCAGACUCCUAAGGGAGGCAGCAGUGGGGAAUAUUGGACAAUGGGGGGAACCCUGAUCCAGCCAUGCCGCGUGUGUGAAGAAGGCCUUAUGGUUGUAAAGCACUUUAAGCGAGGAGGAGGCUACUGAGACUAAUACUCUUGGAUAGUGGACGUUACUCGCAGAAUAAGCACCGGCUAACUCUGUGCCAGCCGCCGCCGUAACAC